GAUGAACGCUAGCUACAGGCUUAACACAUGCAAGUCGAGGGGCAGCAUGAAGUUUGCUUGCAAACUUUGAUGGCGACCGGCGCACGGGUGAGUAACGCGUAUCCAACCUUCCCCUUAGUAGGGCAUAGCCCGGCGAAAGUCGGAUUAAUACCCUAUGUUCUUCGUAGAUGACAUCUGAAAUGAAGCAAAGGUUUACCGCUAAGGGAUGGGGAUGCGUCUGAUUAGGCAGUCGGCGGGGUAACGGCCCACCGAGCCGACGAUCAGUAGGGGUUCUGAGAGGAAGGUCCCCCACAUUGGAACUGAGACACGGUCCAAACUCCUACGGGAGGCAGCAGUGAGGAAUAUUGGUCAAUGGGCGCGAGCCUGAACCAGCCAAGUAGCGUGCAGGAAGACGGCCCUAUGGGUUGUAAACUGCUUUUAUGCGGGGAUAAAGUCGCCCACGUGUGGGUGUUUGUAGGUACCGCAUGAAUAAGGACCGGCUAAUUCCGUGCCAGCCGCCGCCGUAAAAC
rnacentral:rRNA from 1 species